CAGUUAGUUGUCGAACUUUGAACAGCAUUAACUUAUUUCAGAAGUAAAUUAAAUAAAUUAAGUACAUAGUACCUACGAGCCUCUGACCAGCUGACAGGUUUAAGGCCUUCCUUACGGUCCGCGGCCUGCGAGGCGGGGUUUACUGGUUAGAUGAGGUGACUCAAGUGUGGUGGUGUUUCAGCUCCGGUGACACUGGGUGGUGUUAGCGUAGUGGCUAAGGAGAUGGGCUAGCUUACAGUAGCCAGAAAAGUUGCGGUUCAAGUCCUGACUGCCACUGUAGUUAGUGCCCUUGAGCAAGGCACUUCGCUGAGUUGUUUUGGGGAGGCUGGCCCUUGUAGGAAGUCACUUGUGAAAGUUGCUUUGGAUAAAAUCAUCUGCCAAAUUAAUAAGUUAAGUAUACACCAGCUGAGGUGAUCCUACUCUUGUGUUAAAAGAGGUGACACUGUAGCUGAGGUGAUCCUACUCUUGUAUUAAAAGAGGUGACAGUAUAGCUGAGGUGAUCCUACUCUUGUGUUAAAGGAGGUGACACUAUAGCUGAGGUGAUCCUACUGUUGUGUUAAAAGAGGUGACACUAUAGCUGAGGUGAUCCUACUGUUGUGUUAAAAGAGGUGACACUAUAGCUGAGGUGAUCCUACUGUUGUGUUAAAAGAAGUGACACUAUAGCUGAGGUGAUCCUGCUUUUGUGUUAAAAGAAGUGACACUAUAGCUCAUGUGAUCCUACUCUUGUGUUAAAAGAGGUGACACUAUAGCUGAGGUGAUCCUACUGUUGUGUUAAAAGAGGUGACACUAUAGCUGAGGUGAUCCUACUCUUGUGUUAAAAGAGGUGACACUAUAGCUGAGGUGAUCCUACUGUUGUGUUAAAAGAGGUGACACUAGCUGAGGUGAUCCUACUCUUGUGUUAAAAGAGGUGACACUAUAGCUGAGGUGAUCCUGCUGUUGUGUUAAAAGAGGUGACACUAUAGCUGAGGUGAUCCUGCUGUUGUGUUAAAAGAGGUGACAGGUAACACUAGCGCUGGAGUCAGGUGAGAUGACACUAGUGAGGUCUUCCUACUCUGGGCAGGUGUGGCUGCUGGUGUUUCUGCCUGCUUCCUCCUCCGCCAUCUUGAUGCCGCUUCGCUUCGCUCUGCUCUGCUCAGCUCCACUCUGCCCUAGACCUGCAGAUUCCUGACUUUUUCUGCUGUUUUUGUAAAGAAUGUUUUCCUCUUUUUUUUAAUCAAAUAAAGGAAAUGUGAACUCAAA